AUUGAACGCUGGCGGCAGGCCUAACACAUGCAAGUCGAACGGUAACAGGAAGAAGCUUGCUUCUUUGCUGACGAGUGGCGGACGGGUGAGUAAUGUCUGGGAAACUGCCUGAUGGAGGGGGAUAACUACUGGAAACGGUAGCUAAUACCGCAUAACGUCGCAAGACCAAAGAGGGGGACCUUCGGGCCUCUUGCCAGCGGAUGUGCCCAGAUGGGAUUAGCUAGGAGGUGGGGUAAUGGCUCACCUAGGCGACGAUCUCUAGCUGAUCUGAGAGGAUGAGCGGCCACCCUGGAACUGAGACACGGUCCAGACUCCUACGGGAGGCAGCAGUGGGGAAUAGUGCACAGAGGGCGCAAGCCUGAUGCAGCCAUGCCGCGUGUAUGAAGAAGGCCUUCGGGUUGUAAAGUACUUUUAGCGGGGAGGAAGGGAGUAAAGUUAAUACCUUUGCUCAUUGACGUUACCCGCAGAAGAAGCACCGGCUAACUCCGUG
rnacentral:rRNA from 1 species